AGAACGAACGCUGGCGGCAUGCCUAACACAUGCAAGUCGAACGCCCCGCAAGGGGAGUGGCGGACGGGUGAGUAACACGUGGGAACCUGCCCAAUGGUCUGGAAUAACCGCGGGAAACUGCGGCUAAUACCGGAUAAGCCCGAGAGGGGAAAGAUUUAUCGCCGAUGGAGGGGCCCGCGUCCGAUUAGGUAGUUGGUGGGGUAAUGGCCUACCAAGCCUACGAUCGGUAGCUGGUCUGAGAGGAUGAUCAGCCACACUGGGACUGAGAUACGGCCCAGACUCCUACGGGAGGCAGCAGUGGGGAAUAUUGGACAAGUGGGGCAACCCUGAUCCAGCAAUGCCGCGUGAGUGAUGAAGGCCUUAGGGUUGUAAAGCUCGUUUUGGCGGGGACGAUGAUGACGGUACCCGCAGAUAAGCCCGGACUAACUUCGUGCCAGCAGCCGC
rnacentral:rRNA from 1 species